CUAGCAUAAUGAUGAUUUCAUAGUUCAUCUGAGAAGGUACUUUGAUGCACAACUCAUUUAUGUCUUUCGCUCCUAUCUGAUAACAUA